rnacentral:rRNA from 1 species
UACGUAGGGGGCAAGCGUUGUCCGGAAUCAUUGGGCGUAAAGAGCGUGUAGGCGGCUCGGUAAGUCCGCUGUGAAAGUCCAGGGCUCAACCCUGGAAUGCCGGUGGAAACUGUCGAGCUAGAGUCCGGAAGAGGCGAGUGGAAUUCCUGGUGUAGCGGUGAAAUGCGUAGAUAUCGUAAGGAAGACCAGUGGCGAAGGCGGGUCUCUGGACAGUUCCUGACGCUGAGGCGCGACAGCGUGGGGAGCAAACAGG